UACAAUCCGAGGUGAGUUUUUGCCGUGGUGUGGUGUGUGUGUGUGUGUGUGUGUGUGUGUUCGUUCUUCAGACAGGAAAACCUCACAGAGACGGGUUUGUACACCAACAUGUAGCUUUAUCACACCUCCACCACCACCGCAAUGACCAGGCCUCCGUUAUCACCGUCCACAUCACCGUAAAGACACGACGCUAUUCUCCCGGAUCCGAUGGAGGGAGCAGUGAGGGUGGCCGAGGCCGGAGGGAGCUCAUCCUCAGCCGGGGCCGCUGUGGCGGAGGACACGGAGACCGUCAUUGGAGUCGGAUACGGGAUAGAAGACACUGCUGCUAAGAAGACCUACA
ensembl:lncRNA